GGAAAACAUCAGUCCAACAUGCUGCUUGAACUUUCUCCAUUCUCCCGGCAAAUCGAGAGAGUCCCAAUCCAUGCGGGGCGACGGCACUCCUGUCGGUUCCAUGUCAUCUACAUCCAACUUCUCUACCGAUAGCUGUCUCUCCUACUGACUUCCUGUAUCCAAGCUAGGACCCCUCCCGGGCCACCUUGAGCAUGUAGUUGCCUAAACAGAUGCCUGAUUAAAAUGCCACUCAUCCAA